AAUUAGGGAUAAAAAUAAAAAAUAAGUACACUCGCUAAGUUGAAAACCUGAAAGGGCAACUUAGGCAAAAAAAAGGUAUCCUGGUGGAUUGAAAACCCGAAAGGGAAAUCCAGGCAAAAGUUAGGGAUUGAAAGCGGAAGGCUACGUCUUAUAGAGGACCUUUGAUUUCUUCUCGUUGUUAGAGUUGGAAACCUUGAAGGGUAGGAAUUAG
rnacentral:lncRNA from 1 species